GCUGCGCUAGCUCAUUUGGUAGAGCAACGGACUUUUAAUCCGUGGGUACAGGGUUCGAUCCCCUGGCGCAGUAC
rnacentral:tRNA from 1 species